GGAAUGGUUUAACAAUUCCCUACCCAGGGGUGUAGUAAGCACCCCAUCGAAUGACACGAAAUUCAAGAUAUUAUCAUCUCUCAUUCAAAGUUUAUCUCGACUCAACUGAAAUAACGGAUUAAAACGUCAUCAUCAGAAUCUUCAGCAAAAAACUCAACAUCGGUACUUCCUUGAAGACAGGUGCCCAUAGGACGCAACCUUCUUCUAAACUCAACAUCCGUACUUCCUUGAAGACAGGUGCCCAUAGGACGCAACCUUCUUCAAACUCAACAUCCGUACUUCCUUGAAGACAGGUGCCCAUAGGACGCAACCUUCUUCUUGGGGACAGGAUUCCACAAUCAAUGACCGAGUCAGUCAGGAAAGGCAUUCCUAACAUGCCGUCGCAAUUCACGGGAAAAUUAUUAAGUACUAUUUGAAAUGGACAAUCAACCCCCUUAAUAUUUAAAUAUACUUCUCCAGAUGUUUUUACCCCUUCACUUGUGAUUCCAAAUAAAUGAUAUUUGACAUCAAAAUUUACUGGUGUACCUGUUUUUACUUUCCUUCUUUUAAUUAAAUUUAAUUCUGCUCCCGUAUCCACAAUAAAACCACCAUUUCCGUUUUUAAAAUUUUUACUUUUUAAGUUUACAUUUGGAGUGAGUGCCUUC